UGAGGAAUAUUGGUCAAUGGGCGCAAGCCUGAACCAGCCAUCCCGCGUGCAGGAAGACGGCCCUAUGGGUUGUAAACUGCUUUUCCAGGGGGAGAAUUUUUCUGUCGUGACAGGAAUUGACGGUACCCUGGGAAUAAGCAUCGGCUAACUCCGUGCCAGCAGCCGCGGUAAUACGGAGGAUGCGAGCGUUAUCCGGAUUUAUUGGGUUUAAAGGGUGCGUAGGCGGAUUGAUAAGUCAGUGGUGAAAACCUGCAGCUUAACUGUAGACUUGCCGUUGAUACUGUCAGUCUUGAGUGUGGUCAAGGUAGGCGGAAUGUGUAAUGUAGCGGUGAAAUGCUUAGAGAUUACACAGAACACCGAUUGCGAAUGCAGCUUACUGGGCCAUUACUGACGCUGAUGCGCGAAAGCG
rnacentral:rRNA from 1 species